GUGUUCGCUUCAGCAGCCCAUAUACUGAAACUGAAACCAUACAGUGAAGAUUAGCAUGGCCCUUGGACAAGGAUGACAUGCAAACUUGUGAAGUGUUCCAUAUAAAA
ensembl:snRNA U6 U6 spliceosomal RNA